CGGUUCUCGUUAGAUCACCGAAGUCAAGCAUCAUUGGGCGCGGUCAGUACUUGGGUGGGUGACCACCUGG